rnacentral:rRNA from 1 species
UACGUAGGGUGCGAGCGUUAAUCGGAAUUACUGGGCGUAAAGCGUGCGCAGGCGGCGCGUUAAGACAGGUGUGAAAGCCCCGAGCUUAACUUGGGAAUUGCGCUUGUGACUGGCGUGCUGGAGUGUGGCAGAGGGACGCGGAAUUCCAGGUGGAGCGGUGAAAUGCGUAGAGAUCUGGAAGAACACCAAAGGCGAAGGCAGCGUCCUGGGAAGCAUCUGACGCUCAGGUGCGAAAGCUAGGGGAGCGAACGGG